rnacentral:rRNA from 1 species
AUUCCAGCUCCAAUAGCGUAUAUUAAAGUUGUUGCGGUUAAAAAGCUCGUAGUUGGAGUUCUGCCAGGUGGCGCUCGUCCGCCCAAGUGGUGUGUACAGGGCGUGCAUCUGGCCCUUUCAAGGGGAACGUGUCUGCACUUCAUUGUGUGGUGCGAGAUCCUUGACUUUUACUUUGAGGAAAUAAGAGUGUUCCAAGCAGGCUAAAGCUCUGAAUACAUUAGCAUGGAAUAACGCGAGAGGACUCGGUCCUUAUUUUGUUGGUCUUCAAGGAUGGAGUAAUGAUUAAGAGGGACAGUUGGGGGUAUUCGUAUUUCAUUGCUAGAGGUGAAAUUCUUGGAUUUAUGAAAGACGAACUUCUGCGAAAGCAUUUGCCAAGGAUGUUUUCAUUA